UUGGCCUAGUGGUUAGAGCGUCCGCCUCGGAUGCGGGAGGUCGUGAGUUCUAGCCUCGUUCGAG